AAGAAAGCAGGCUGAGCAAACUACUGGGACCAAGCCAAGAAGCAGCAGUCCCCGUGACUUCUGAAUCAGCCAGUGCCAGAGCUUCCUGCCCUGCCUGCCUUGGAUGAUGGAAAAACUGUAAGAUGAAACAAAUCCCUUCCUGCUCAGCUGCUUUUGGUGUUGUUCACAACAGCAACAGAAACCCUAAGACAUAACUUGGUACCAGGUCUUCAUCACUGUGCGCCUACUUCCAGCUCCUACAUACACUAGCCUCGCCUCACAGCACCUUCACACACAAGCAAGGUGUGAGACUCAGCCUCAAGUGCUCUAGGCUGCACCAGCCUUCAACUGCCACCAUCUGCACACUGGCUGGUAGUGGAAUUGGUCUGAAUCAGAGCUGGUGGGAUCCUGUCUGGCUCAGAACGAGUCCAUAACAAAGAUUCUCAUUAUCGAACUUUGUCCUCAGUGAGGGCAAGUGGGUCAUCACCGCCAGACAAUAGCAACCCCUCCGCUGAGAAGGCUGAGGGAGCUCAGAGCACCAAGGUGAGGAGUACUGGCUAGAGGCCUUGGAGCUACCUGGGACAAAUAGCUGUGGUGCGUGUGCCUUCCCUACCUGUGGAUCUCUUGGGUGACUCCACCAUCAACUCCCACUCACUGCCUGGGUCUCUGCUCCCUUUCUCCUGUCUAACUCUCCCCAGCCUUGAUUCUGCAGUGGAGGCAGUGAGGGCCUCCCGCACGGCCAGCACUGUUUCCCACUGCUCCUGCCACCUGGGCCGGUGGCAGGGACCAGGCCUUAGCCAUGUGCAUGCUGCCCACCGCCUACACACAGCGAGCAGGCUUCAGCAUUGUGACCAGUGAACAAGAGGAAGAAUGAAGGAAGGCCUGGGCUGAAUAACACACAGCUCAGGUUUGCUGGAUUGUCUGGUACCACUUAUGAGGAAUAAGCAGAUUUACCUCCCUGGAAAGGAACAGCAGGAAAGUGUAAUGGAAUGAGUGGAAAGAGGCAAGGAGCUCCAGGAAGCAGGCUGCCUCUGGACUGAUGAGCUGACCUCAGAGACCAGGGAGGGAUUUACCUUACAAACAAGUGCAGCACACGCCUACAAUUCCAGCCCUUAGACAGCUAAGGCACAAAGAGCCUGAUUUUAAGGCCAGCAACAAAGUAACCCCUCCAAACACAGGCGGAUGUGGCUUAGUGGCAGAAUGCUAGCCUAGCAUGCACCAGGCCCACCCCAGAACAUUUGAACACAGGAAAUAAGCUUCUUAAGGACCAACAACUUCAGUGGGUAAAGGGCACCUGUCAUCAAACCUAACCACCUCAGUGCGAUGGAGACGUGCACCCUAACAUCCACACUCAACAAAAUGUUACAAAACAUGUAGCACAUAGGUAUGCUUUCAGACAAAACACCCAUACCCAUAAG
ensembl:lincRNA Gm26516 predicted gene, 26516